rnacentral:rRNA from 1 species
AACGAACGCUGGCGGCAGGCUUAACACAUGCAAGUCGAACGCUCGUAGCAAUACGGGAGUGGCGGACGGGUGAGUAACGCGUGGGAACGUGCCCUGAGGUACGGAAUAACUGCGGGAAACUGCAGCUAAUACCGUAUGAGCCCCGCAAGGGGAAAGAUUUAUCGCCUUGGAGCGGCCCGCGUCGGAUUAGCUAGUUGGUGGGGUAACGGCCUACCAAGGCUUCGAUCCGUAGCUGGUCUGAGAGGACGAUCAGCCACACUGGGACUGAGACACGGCCCAGACUCCUACGGGAGGCAGCAGUGGGGAAUCUUGCGCAAUGGGGGCAACCCUGACGCAGCCAUGCCGCGUGAAUGAUGAAGGCCUUAGGGUUGUAAAGUUCUUUUGCCCGUGACGAUGAUGACGGUAACGGGAGAAUAAGCUCCGGCUAACUUCGUG